rfam:Echinostoma caproni strain Egypt genome assembly, scaffold: ECPE_scaffold0025842
GGUCUCGUAGCUCAGCUGGUAGAGCAUGCGCGUACAAAGCGUAGGCGGUGUCCAUGCGUGGGUUCGAAUCCCACCGAGGCUA